UGGGGAAUAUUGGACAAUGGGCGCAAGCCUGAUCCAGCCAUGCCGCGUGUGUGAAGUAGGCCUUUUGGUUGUAAAGCACUUUAAGCGAGGAGGAGGCUACUUGGAUUAAUACUCUAGGAUAGUGGACGUUACUCGCAGAAUAAGCACCGGCUAACUCUGUGCCAGCAGCCGCGGUAAUACAGAGGGUGCGAGCGUUAAUCGGAUUUACUGGGCGUAAAGCGUGCGUAGGCGGCUUCUUAAGUCGGAUGUGAAAUCCCUGAGCUUAACUUAGGAAUUGCAUUAGAUACUGGGAAGCUAGAGUAUGGGAGAGGAUGGUAGAAUUCCAGGUGUAGCGGUGAAAUGCGUAGAGAUCUGGAGGAAUACCGAUGGCGAAGGCAGCCAUCUGGCCUAAUACUGACGCUGAGGUACGAAAGCAUGGGGAGCAAACAGG
rnacentral:rRNA from 1 species